rnacentral:snRNA from 1 species
GUGCUUCCUUCGACAGCACAUAAACUAAAACUGGAAGGAUACAGAGAAGAUUAGCAUGGACUCUGAAAAAAAAAAGUCAAUUAAAAAAUUGGAUUACUUGCUA